GAUGAACGCUAGCGGCAGGCCUAACACAUGCAAGUCGAGGGAGAGGUUACCUUCGGGUCACCAAAACCGGCGCACGGGUGCGUAACGCGUAUACAAUCUGCCUUUCACAUAGGGAUAGCCCGAAGAAAUUUGGAUUAAUACCUAAUGGUAUAUAAGAGCGGCAUCGUUUUUAUAUUAAAGCUACGGUGGUGAAAGAUGAGUAUGCGUUCUAUUAGCUAGUUGGAGAGGUAACGGCUCCCCAAGGCGACGAUAGAUAGGGGUUCUGAGAGGGAUGUCCCCCACACUGGUACUGAGAUACGGACCAGACUCCUACGGGAGGCAGCAGUGAGGAAUAUUGGACAAUGGUCGGAAGACUGAUCCAGCCAUGCCGCGUGCAGGAGGAAGGUCCUAUGGAUUGUAAACGGCUUUUGUAAGGGAAGAAUAAGGAGUACGUGUACUUUGAUGACGGUACCUUACGAAUAAGCAUCGGCUAACUCCGUG
rnacentral:rRNA from 1 species